rnacentral:pre_miRNA from 1 species
CAGGUACUCCCUCCGUUCUAAAUUACUCGUCGCAGAAAUGGAUGUAUCUAGAACUAAAAUACAUCUAGAUACAUCCAUACCUGCGACAAGUAAUUCGGAACGGAGGGAGUAUUUA